GGCUGAUUGGGGGUACCUCAGGGGCUGCGGUCUUCUCUAGCAUGUUCUAUAGGUGUCAAGAAACUCUUAAAACCACAAAGCCUAACGCCAAUCCAUUUUCUCAGCUCUAAAGGCCAGCGUAAGGGCGAGAGCGCCACACAAGAAGCGGAGCCGCGUUGCGCCGCGUGGUGCGCCACGGUGCGCGCCCCGGGAGGGUGCUGUCCAGCGCGCGGCGCUUCCGGAGGCGCGCAGGACUCGUGCGCCGGUGCGUCCCAGGCGCUUAGCCGCGCGCUGCGCAGUCUCCACUACUUCAGUUGCCACGGGUCUGAGCGCCAGCGCGGGUUGUAGGGACAGGAGAAACAACGAGGUGGCCUGCGCGGAUUUGUGGCUUGCAAACCCUUGUUCAUCCAGAAAAGGGAGUUGAAGCACCCCGAAGUGAGUCAGGGACAGAGUCGGAGAGGAUGUCUGAGCUGCCUUCUGGGCUGUGGUAACCGCAACAGGAGUUGAAUGGACGGAAGGCCGACGCUGUCUGGGCUUCUGGGGGAUGAACCCCGCUCCACCCGAGCUUGGCCCGCGCCGCUCCGGGCUCUCCAGACAACCAGCUCCCCUCUUCCUCCCCUCACCCCCACCCCUUGCGUGUCAGAGCUUGCAGAACCCUCGUCCUUGGGAAGUUCCUAGGAAUCAUCGCCGAAGCCGCUGAGGCAGAGCGCCCCACCCUUGUCUCUGGCUCCUUUUCUGCUGCAAAGACAGAGUGCAUGAUUGAGACAGAAACCAACUGGGCUGCAAAGCUUAAAAUAUUUGUUAUCUGGCCUUUUAUACAAAAAGUUUACAGACUUCAUUUCAAAAAUGCAUUUGAAAAGAAGUGAUGGAAUUUAAAAACAGAGAUCUACACCAACUGAAGAGGAUUCUGGAAGAUUCUCAAGGGCCCUAGGGAAUGGUGGAGCUACUGGAUGAAAGGAGACUCAGUUCCUGUAUACUGUGUGGAGGAGAGCACCCUCCAGGACCCCAACUAUUAAGCAUCA